UGCAGAGGCAAGAUAUGAUUAUCUUAAAGUACAGGGUUGAAUGAAUAAAUUCCAAAGAAGAUAAGAUCCCCAAUUUCUUUCUCUCUUGUGUGUGCGUGGUGGUCAUUGAAAACAUCUCCGGUGUUGCUCGCUUUCUGGACGAAGCCAAGCCAUUGUAGCCGCAGUCGGCGGCAGGAGCUAUAGUGGACGACACCGCCGAGGUGGGCCGCAUACUACUGCCGCGCCGGGCGCUGGGACAUGGGGAGCCGCCGCCCAACCUUAUGCGCUCGCCGGAGGGCGUCGCCGCGGAGGACCGGCCGGUAGUCGUGGCUUCGGGUGCAGACCAGCUGGAGGGCUGCACAAUUAGGCCCGGUGUGAAGGUCUCGCCGUGACCUCCAUGAACAAUGCACAAAACAACAUGUAGGUCCCGGUUCCUUUUUCUGGUACAAAGCAAUUUGCGUCAGUGUAUAGAUGUACAUGAAAAAUAAUCAAUUGACUGAUUACGGGAUGAUGAUAAGGAGUAAAUUCUUGAUUUAUUUCCCUUCUUAUCAGAUGCCAAUUUUUUUUUGACCAUUCGGUGCCGCGUCUGGCAGCCGCCGACGGAUAGCAGCCCCACGAACGCGCGGGAGGGCGAAGCAGUGCAGGGUCGGGAGCCGUCUCGCGCGCUAAGAGUCACCGCCGUCGUGCCUUGCGCCUCAUCGGUAUGACACAGCCGUUCCCCAAGGAGAUGUGGCCUCUGCUGCCGACGAUGGUUGGAAAUGUCGUGGAGGCUCUUUCUUGUGUGCGG
rnacentral:lncRNA from 1 species